rnacentral:hammerhead_ribozyme from 2 species
GGAUGUACUACCAGCUGAUGAGUCCCAAAUAGGACGAAACGCC